GCGGGAUUAGCUCAGAUGGCAGAGCGCAUUCCUUCCAAGUAUGAGGUCGACGGUUCGAGUCCGUCAUCCCGCUCCA
rnacentral:tRNA from 1 species